AACGAACGCUGGCGGCAUGCCUAACACAUGCAAGUCGAACGAGACCUUCGGGUCUAGUGGCGCACGGGUGCGUAACGCGUGGGAACCUGCCCUUAGGUUCGGAAUAACUCCCCGAAAGGGGUGCUAAUACCGGAUAAUGUCUUCGGACCAAAGAUUUAUCGCCUUUGGAUGGGCCCGCGUUGGAUUAGCUAGUUGUUAGGGUAAAAGCCUACCAAGGCGACGAUCCAUAGCUGGUCUGAGAGGAUCAUCAGCCACACUGGGACUGAGACACGGCCCAGACUCCUACGGGAUGCAGCAGUGGGGAAUCUUGGACUACGGGCGAAAUCCUGAUCCAGCAAUGCCGCGUGAGUGAUGAAGGCCUUAGGGUUGUACAGCUCUUUUACCCGGGAUGAUAAUGACAUUACCGGGAGAAUAAGCUCCGGCUAACUCCGUG
rnacentral:rRNA from 1 species